UACGUAGGGGGCAAGCGUUGUCCGGAAUCAUUGGGCGUAAAGCGCGUGUAGGCGGUUCGAUAAGUCUGCUGUGAGAGUCCAGGGCUCAACCCUGGGAUGCCGGUGGAUACUGUCGGACUAGAGUACGGAAGAGGCGAGUGGAAUUCCCGGUGUAGCGGUGAAAUGCGCAGAUAUCGGGAGGAACACCAAUUGCGAAGGCAGCUCGCUGGGACGUCACUGACGCUGAGACGCGAAAGCGUGGGAGCAAACAGG
rnacentral:rRNA from 1 species